AUGGAGAUGGAGUACUCGACCCAGGAUGUGAGGCCACUGACUAAGACAAACAAUAGAGGGCCGAGGAAGCGCUUGGUUGACCAAGAUGGUAUAGUUAAUACCCAAGAGCAGCCAGCGGUGCUGAUUAAGCUCGGUACGGUUGCCGGAAAGGUGCUGCUAAUUGAGGGUGCGCCACCGGCGACUAUGGAUGAUAAGGAGGCUAUGACACCGGGUAAGGUACCAAUCGUGAAGAGAAGGAGACAAGGUGAAGAAGGAGAGAGUGUUGACGAUACUAUGAGUGAGGCGACCUCCCUUGAGGAUCGGCGACCCCGCGAUGGUUCAUGA
rnacentral:rRNA from 1 species